ACUUGAUUUCCAUUUAAUGUUGAUUUCUUCUUCAAUUGCAGUUUGUAACUUUUUAAGAUUCAUGAUUAUAUGUCUUGUAUCAGUUCGAAAUUGUUGGGUUAUUCACUCCGGUCACUCCACCGAAAGAGAUUGGGAGGUGGAUUGAGGAGGAUGCUUCCGUUCUUGUUCCUGCUGAUAUAAAUCAUAUAAUCAACAUUAAGUUUGGGGAUAUUAUUCCAGCACAUGCUUGUCUCCUCGAUGGUGAUCCACUGAAAUUGAUCAGUCUACACUUGUCGGUGAGUCACUUCCUGUGAUCAAAGGCCCUGGUGACAUUGUGUAUUUGGGGUCUACAUGAAAACAAGGAGAGAUUGAAGCUGUGGUGAUUGCCACUAGUGUUCAUACCUUUUUUGGCAAGGCUGCUCAUCUUGUCGAUAACACAAAUCAACAGGCCCACUUUUAAAAGUGCUAGUGGGAUUCCAGGAGAGAAUAUGGGUGUUAUUAUACAAUUCCUCUUGAUCAUGGUCAAUCUGGGAGGACAGAUAGCCUCUUGUAUAUCCUUCAUGGACUCUGCUAACCUAUGCUUCGAUGACUAUUGGUUUUGUAAGUCUCCUUUUCAGCAGCUCAUCUCUUAUUUGGGAUUAUACGGAUCUGGGUUUGAGUUUGAAGGUCUUGUUUGGGCCAUUAGAACUUAGUUAUGUAGAUUACAAUUGUAUUUUGAUUUGAUAGGUCAGUAGGUUUUGAUUUUGUUUCAUUUUGAUUUCAUAGACUGGCUUUGGUUCAAUGACUCUUGUCUUGGUCUCUCCAUGAAUUCGAAGUCAAUCACUUAGUGACUCUUCAUCUCUCUCUCUCUCUCUCUCUCUCUCUCUCUCUCUCUCUCUCUCUCUCUCUCUCUCUCUCUCUCUCUCUCUCUC